rnacentral:lncRNA from 1 species
AUGUCUUCUCCUAAAUGCUUCGCUGAGGUGCAGAUGCUCAGUCAAGGUCAACCAGAUCUGCUCAACAGUUUUUCUGGUUCUGAGGUCAAGGCUGUGGACUCCACUUCCCAAAGGGAGCUGUUUACUGGGCCUACAGAAAACUUCUGUUCCAAAGUCACACAUGUUCCUGUGAUACUGAACAACCAGCUUUGAAAUCUGUGUCCUUGACCAUGAAGAAGAGCUGGUGAAAGAUCAUGGAGAGACCAAUGCAAACCCAUCCUUUCUACUGAGGAGGAGAACCAUAAAACUCCAGGGAGGCCCUCAGUGUCACUGUUUGCUUCCCAGCAUUGGUGGUAGAGGAAAGGAGACAGAGGGUAAGUGCCAUUUCAGGGAAGUGUGUGUGUGACACAUGUGUACAGUUGUUUUCCCUGCUGCUUAGGGAAAAUGAGUCAGUGUUGGGACGGAGUCUAACAGCAGGCAAGGUCUACCAGGAGUAGCAAUCGGCUUUCCCUCCCAUGAGGACACUUCAUCCCUGUGUAUCCAUGGGCCUAACAAAGUCAUCACUGCCUCCCACUGUUUCAA